AUUUUGAAUAAUUGAUGUCCGCCGUCGUGAUUUGGCCAUCAGCAAACAACAGUCGUCGACACGAAGGUGAAGAAAGUAAAUAACAUUUGCCAGAAUUAGGCUAGUACAGCACGAGACGUUUCUUGAACGUAUUUUCCUAAUACAUUGUUUAUUUGUUCAAAAUAUACUGCAACGAACGAGGUUUUACGCUUGUAUUUUAUCCGUAUCCCUCGUCGAAGCAAAUCCCAAGUCCCAACCAUAGAUAUAGGAGAUCUAGUUUGCUAACGCAUACCUAGCGCAGGCGAGGCCUACAUGAUAAAUCCAAGAUGGCGGUACAACAGGGCAAAAAGACUACAGAUUCUAUAACGAAAAUCAGGAUUUUUGCAUUUUUGCCGUCGCAUUGUUUCGAAACUUAUUCGGUCAAAUUUUAUGUUAAAGAGAAACUUACCGCGAAGAUUUUGAGCAUAUAUAUGAUUGAAUUGGAUGCAAACUCGCAAAAUUAUCCAUCAAUAAAAGUUCGUGUAUAGUACUGAUAUAGUACUACAUAUGUAACUUGUACAGUUUUGCUUUAAUUUUUUCUCACUAUUUGCAUAAACAGCAAAUUAUAACGGACCAUAGAUGAUAGAUCCUCAUCCAGUGCUCGCGUCAGUUUACUUCUCUAACAAGCUAGGAGGGGGAGGGAGGAGGGUACAUAACAGUUCAUUUUUCAUAAUUAUGAGGACAGAGCAGAUGAUGAUGAGAGAUGCAAGUAUAAAACACCAUUCACAAGGCUAGAUGUUAACAUAGCACAGUA